rnacentral:rRNA from 1 species
GACGAACGCUGGCGGCGUGCCUAACACAUGCAAGUCAGGGAGAAAGAGGUAGCAAUAUCUCGAGUAAACCGGCGAACGGGUGAGUAACACGUAGGUAACCUGCCCUCGAGUUGGGAAUAACUUCGAGAAAUCGAGGCUAAUACCGGAUAAUGCAACGAACCCGCAUGGGUUUGUUGUUAAAGUUCCGCGCAAGCGGAACGCUUGAGGAUGGACCUGCGGCCGAUUAGCUAGUUGGCGGAGAACAGCCCACCAAGGCGACGAUCGGUAGCCAACCUGAGAGGGUGACCGGCCACACUGGGACUGAGAUACGGCCCAGACUCCUACGGGAGGCAGCAGUGGGGAAUCUUGCGCAAUGGGCGAAAGCCUGACGCAGCGACGCCGCGUGUGGGAUGACGGCCUCGG